CGCGUAGGCGGUCUUGUAAGUCCGAUGUUAAAGACCGGGCUCAACCCGGCAUGGCGUUGGAUACUGCGAGGCUUGACGACUGGAGAGGCAAGUGGAAUUACCAGUGUAGCGGUGGAAUGCGUAGAUACUGGUAGGAACACCCAUUGCGAAGGCAGCUUGCUGGACAGUUUGUGACGCUGAGGCGCGAAAGCGUGGGGAGCAAACC
rnacentral:rRNA from 1 species